UACGUAGGGCGCAAGCGUUAUCCGGAAUUAUUGGGCGUAAAGAGCUCGUAGGCGGUUUGUCGCGUCUGCCGUGAAAGUCCGGGGCUCAACUCCGGAUCUGCGGUGGGUACGGGCAGACUAGAGUGCUGUAGGGGAGACUGGAAUUCCUGGUGUAGCGGUGAAAUGCGCAGAUAUCAGGAGGAACACCGGUGGCGAAGGCAGGUCUCUGGGCAUUAACUGACGCUGAGGAGCGAAAGCAUGGGGAGCGAACAGG
rnacentral:rRNA from 1 species